CCUACGGGAGGUAGCAGUGGGAAUAUUGCAACAUUGGGGAAACCCUUAUGCCGCAACGGCGCCUGAGUGAGGAAAUAUUUCGGUAUGUAAAGCUCUAUUAGCAGGGAAUAGAAAAGAAGGUACCUGAAAAAGAAGCCCCGGCUAACUACGUGCCAGCAGCCGCGGUAAUACGUAGGGGGCAAGCGUUAUCCGGAUUUACUGGGUGUAAAGGGAGCGUAGACGGGAAGGCAAGUCAGAAGUGAAAGCCCAAGGCUCAACCAUGGGACUGCUUUUGAAACUGUCAAACUAGAGUACGGGAGAGGUAAGAGGAAUUCCUAGUGUAGCGGUGAAAUGCGUAGAUAUUAGGAGGAACACCAGUGGCGAAGGCGUCUUACUGGACCGAAACUGACGUUGAGGCUCGAAAGCGUGGGGAGCAAACAGGAUUAGAUACCCGUGUAGUC
rnacentral:rRNA from 1 species